rnacentral:rRNA from 1 species
GUCUAUAGCUAUGCCACCUCGAACAAGCCUAAUCCCAUCUGAUCUUAGAAGCUAAGGAAGGUUGGACCUGGUCAGUACUUGGAUGGGAGACCACCUAGGAGGACCAAGUGCUAUAGGCA